ensembl:lncRNA
GACAGGGGCCCUGCUGGAAGAGGCGCAGCAGCGAGGUGGCGGGCUGCGUGCGCAAACAGGGCGGCCGCCUCCUGGGCCCGGAGAACGGCAAGUGAGACACUGGAUCUGAGGGAGCACGAUGGCAGUGUUUCUGGAGGCCAAGAACGCCCAUUCGGUCCUGAAGCGGUUCCCCCGUGCUAACGAGUUCCUGGAGGAGCUGCGCCAGGGCACCAUCGAGCGGGAGUGCAUGGAGGAGAUCUGCAGCUACGAGGAGGUCAAGGAGGUGUUUGAGGACAAGGAGAAAACGAUGGAGUUCUGGAAGGGGUACCCAAACGCCGUCUACUCCGUCCGAGACCCUGCGCAGAGCUCAGACGCCAUGUACGUGGUGGUGCCCCUUCUGGGCGUGGCCUUGCUGAUUGUCAUCGCCUUGUUCAUCAUUUGGAGGUGCCAGCUGCAGAAAGCCACCCGUCACCACCCGUCGUACGCUCAGAACCGGUACCUAGCGAGUCGCGCGGGGCACAGCCUCCCCCGGGUCAUGGUCUACCGGGGCACUGUGCACAGCCAGGGCGAGUCCUCCGGGCACCGGGAGGCAGGGAGCCACCCGCAGGUGGUGCUGGGGCCCAGUCGCGGAGGUAGGACCACGGUCCGCCUCGAGAGCACCCUCUACCUCCCCGAGCUCUCCCUCUCCAGACUGUCCAGCGCCACCCCGCCCCCGUCCUACGAGGAGGUGACUGCUCCCCAGGAGAGCAGCAGCGAGGAGGCGAGCGUCUCUUACAGUGACCCGCCCCCCAAGUACGAAGAGAUAGUGGCCGCCAACCCCGGUUCCGACAAGUAGUGGGACUCGGGUCCCAUCCAGCGGGAAAGCCUCGUUCAGGGGUCUCCUCUUUUCUUUUUAACUUUUUAAAGACUGUGCCACCACAAAACAGCCUUAGCCUCCUCGUUGCCAAAUAAUUUCCCACCCGUGGAUUUGCGGGAAGUCGGUUGUCAGAGACAGGUGGCGGGGGGUAGGGAUCACGCAUGCGCCGCGACCGCGGGCUGGGGGUGGGGGGAGCGAGGAGCCGCGAGCCAGAGAGCCCAUAGCUCUUCCAGAAGCCCCCAGGCCCCUGCCCUCCUGUCCUCCUGUCAGGGCCUGGCUUCUCUUAUGCCAAAGGAAUCCCCCUGUUGAGUUGAUCGUGGCUGGCGACCCGUUUGUCUGAAGCCUCGCCACAGAGACGAGGGAGAGAAGCCAGCCCUUCAGCGCCCUUUUCCCUGACUAGCCCUGCUGGGCUCUAGGGCCUGGCUCACUUGUGACAAGGACAAGGACCGAACAGAACCGGAAAGAGUAACAACCUGACUGAACACAAUACAACACAACGCUGUCCCCUGGGCCGCGCAUAGGGGUUCAAGAGAAAUCAGUGGCACGGAUCUGUGGCACUCCCCUCCCCCAACGCCCACCCCACGCUCCUGACCAGGUUCCGAGGAAUGUCUAGAGCCACCCGGAAGGGGCACGGGGUGUGUGAAGGAUGAGGGGCAGCGCCUGGCUGGCAGAGCUGCCUCCUGCAGGUUGUGGACCUUGGCGUCCCCCAGCCCUUGGCUCGCCGGGCACCGGUACCAGCCGAGCCAGAGCCGCCACCCGCUGGCUCAAGCCCAGGCUUAGGCCGGGGAGGACAGACUGUGGCACCCAGGGUCUUUGAAUGGUUGAGGGCAGGCUGGGGGAGAGAGCUGAAGCGUCCUCCUCCUGAGGGUGGCCCAUAGGAUGAGUAAAGCCAUGCACUUGGCCUUCUCCGAGCUGUGCUCUCUGGCUCCUGGACCUUGGAGGCUAUUCGCCUUUUUGUGAAUAGGUGUGUUGAGAUGAACCUGGUGCCCGCCUGGGGAGAUCGUCAAGGGUCCCUUUGGAGGAGUUUCUUGGUGGGGGGGAUGCGGCAGCCCAUGACCUGGGGUUGAGGGCCCAUCUGGGAUUUGCUCCGUCAUUGCCAGGUGCUGGUCCUUUUUUAGUCCCCCCCUUCUGUGGCCCCGGGAGCUGUCCGCCUCUCCAUUUCGGGGAGGCUUCGGACAGCAGUGGGGCGGAGGUGAGCACACAAAAGACACUGUCGACACUGCCUCCCCACCCCGCCGUCUUCAUCCUCCUGGCCUCAGCACCAAACCAUGUUUCCUCUGUGGUGCUUUACAAAAUGUAGCAAAUUUUUGUGGGGCCCCAAAAGAGUGCACAGCCAGGGUCUAUUGGCAACCACAGCGGUUUAAAACCCACAGAGAAGACAAGCUUCUCUCUGUCUAAACAGCUUUCCAAGGCAAGCCUCGGGCCUCGUUCUUUGACUUCCGGAGGCCCUUCCCGCCCUGGGCCCUCGGCCAGGAACGCACUUCUAGAAAUCUGUAGGUUACACGGGAGUCGGUCUCCUGCCGGUUGAACCUUUCUGCCCCUCCCCCUCGCCCUCCUCCGGAGCUCCCUGAUGCCAGAGGUGCUGACCAGGUGGCAUUCCACCUCUCCCCCUUCCUCUUCCUGCCCGCGGGCCUCUAGCAUGUCCUCGGCCCGUGCCUGUCUGGGACCUGGGAGGAUGCCCAGGAACGCCUGCUCCCUUUGGCCCCUUUGCAGCUGGCCGGAGGUGGGAGCUCUCCGGGUCAGGUGCUUCGCAGCGUUCUUCCACGUGGGGUUGCCACCGUGGGCUCUGGGACGUCUUUUGCAGCAUCUCGUAGAAAACAGACUGUACAGUUCACAAUGGUCAGAACUCCUCGUGGUGCACAUUUGGCUUUUAUGAAUGCCCUGUACAUAUCUUUUGCAACUCUGUCUUUGUACCGACGUUGAUUUGAUACAAUGCUACACCUGCAGUGGCCACAUUUUUGUUGGUUUUGGACUGUGUGUGUGUGUGUGUGUGUGUUUGUGUGUCCGUAUACACGUGUGCACGUUGCCUUUUCUCACACGCUUAUCUGAAACAAUAGCCGGUGUGUGGCUAUAUUUGUACCAGGAGGGUUCCGGUCUGAAGGGAGGAGUGAAGAAAGCCGAGCUUAGCUGUUGGAGCCCGCCAAAGUUGCUUCCUUCCACCCCCUUCCCGAAAGAUUUGGGAAGAAGACGGAGCCACUCCAUGCUGUGGGACCCCCACUGUAACGCCCUGUUGGCGCCGUGCCCCCAGCCUCCACGCCUGCUCUCUGAGCAUCAGCAGCUGAAGGCAAUCUGAGCACUCCUCAGCCUUUUUAUUUUUUUUUUUUUACUUUUAUUUUUCGGUGGAAAGGUGGGUGACUGUUGACUGUGGGAAUGGAAGGGCUAGUUAUUUAGGUAUUUUUCAUUUAAACAAAAAAGAGAAAAGGCUUUAAAAAAAUUCCUCGGAAUGUGACAGUCACGUGUUCUCAACCAAACUCUUUUGAAGAUGCUUUCAAACAAGCAUCACGAUCUCGUCGUCCCUCCCCUGCUCCUCCCCAUUGCCUGGGGUUUUCCAAAUGAAAGCACAAGAGAAAGAGCGGGGUGCGCAGGUGCCCCCCAGUAUGUGCAGCCUCCGCACAGCUGCGUGGGGGACGUGCAGAUGGCCAGACGGACGUGCAGCGCUGCGCAAUCUGACCUGGAGACCAGGGGCCGCCUCUUCUGCUCUCGAAUCCCACUGCCAUUAGUGUGAAUUCCUUAGGGUGCUUCAGAAAAUAGGGAUCCGCCUGAUUGGUUGGACCUGGUGUCUUUGGUAGCCGGAAGAGGACGGAUCCAGGACAGGAAAGCAUCCUUUUCUUAAGGAGUUGGAGCCAGAUGGUCCUUCUCUGGCUGGGGGUGGGUCUGCUCACAACCGAAGAACUCAAAACAACACUGCCUCUAGAUCGUUCCUUUGUCCACGAGAGAGACAGGGAGCGAGCUGAUGGAUAGAAAUUCUCUUCGUCACUGACGCUCUGUCUUUCUAGGAGUGUGUGUACGUGUGCUCUGUGUCAUGUGUGUGCCCUCAUGUUCAAGGCCGAGACGGGGAGCUGGGCAGCCAAGCUGCCGUCUGCGCUGCUUUUCGGCUUGACAGGUAACACAGCUCCGUGUCAGGACUGCAGCGAUUCAGAAACAAGCACAGCCUCCCCACUGAACUCUCCUCCUGCUAAUCUGUAUAAUCAGCUAAUUUAACAGUACUGUAAUCAGACUGCCUGUGACUACAGUAAAAGCCCACUAAUUCAGACCUUAGAGAAAACCCACAACUCCAGAUCAUUCGUGGAAUCUGCUAUUCUCGCUCGGCGGAAGUCUUUGAAAUAUUCUUCCCGUUAGUCAGUGUUCAGGGUCCUAUGUGUAAGAGGGGACCGAGUUUAAAAGGAGUACCUUUUGCAAAUAAAAGGCUCAAGACAUUAAGAAUCCCCUCA